rnacentral:rRNA from 1 species
GCGAAACGGGAAGAGCCCAAACCAACAAGCUUGCUUGUUGGGGUUGUAGGACACUCGAGACGGAGUUACAAAGGACGACAUUAGACGAAUCAUCUGGAAAGAUGAAUCAAAGAAGGUAAUAAUCCUGUAGUCGAAAAUGUUGUCUCUCUUGAGUGGAUCCUGAGUACGACGGAGCACGUGAAAUUCCGUCGGAAUCUGGGAGGACCAUCUCCUAAGGCUAAAUACUCUCUAGUGACCGAUAGUGAACCAGUACCGUGAGGGAAAGGUGAAAAGCACCCCGGAAGGGGAGUGAAAUAGAACCUGAAACCGUGUGCUUACAAGUAGUCAGAGCCCGUUAAUGGGUGAUGGCGUGCCUUUUGUAGAAUGAACCGGCGAGUUACGAUUUGAUGCAAGGUUAAGCAGUAAAUGUGGAGCCGUAGCGAAAGCGAGUCUGAAUAGGGCGUUUAGUAUUUGGUCGUAGACCCGAAACCAGGUGAUCUACCCUUGGUCAGGUUGAAGUUCAGGUAACACUGAAUGGAGGACCGAACCGACUUACGUUGAAAAGUGAGCGGAUGAACUGAGGGUAGCGGAGAAAUUCCAAUCGAACCUGGAGAUAGCUGGUUCUCUCCGAAAUAGCUUUAGGGCUAGCCUCAAGUGAUGAUUAUUGGAGGUAGAGCACUGUUUGGACGAGGGGCCCCUCUCGGGUUACCGAAUUCAGACAAACUCCGAAUGCCAAUUAAUUUAACUUGGGAGUCAGAACAUGGGUGAUAAGGUCCGUGUUCGAAAGGGAAACAGCCCAGACCACCAGCUAAGGUCCCAAAAUAUAUGUUAAGUGGAAAAGGAUGUGGCGUUGCCCAGACAACUAGGAUGUUGGCUUAGAAGCAGCCAUCAUUUAAAGAGUGCGUAAUAGCUCACUAGUCGAGUGACACUGCGCCGAAAAUGUACCGGGGCUAAACAUAUUACCGAAGCUGUGGAUUGUCCUUUGGACAAUGGUAGGAGAGCGUUCUAAGGGCGUUGAAGCAUGAUCGUAAGGACAUGUGGAGCGCUUAGAAGUGAGAAUGCCGGUGUGAGUAGCGAAAGACGGGUGAGAAUCCCGUCCACCGAUUGACUAAGGUUUCCAGAGGAAGGCUCGUCCGCUCUGGGUUAGUCGGGUCCUAAGCUGAGGCCGACAGGCGUAGGCGAUGGAUAACAGGUUGAUAUUCCUGUACCACCUAUAAUCGUUUUAAUCGAUGGGGGGACGCAGUAGGAUAGGCGAAGCGUGCGAUUGGAUUGCACGUCUAAGCAGUAAGGCUGAGUAUUAGGCAAAUCCGGUACUCGUUAAGGCUGAGCUGUGAUGGGGAGAAGACAUUGUGUCUUCGAGUCGUUGAUUUCACACUGCCGAGAAAAGCCUCUAGAUAGAAAAUAGGUGCCCGUACCGCAAACCGACACAGGUAGUCAAGAUGAGAAUUCUAAGGUGAGCGAGCGAACUCUCGUUAAGGAACUCGGCAAAAUGACCCCGUAACUUCGGGAGAAGGGGUGCUCUUUAGGGUUAACGCCCAGAAGAGCCGCAGUGAAUAGGCCCAAGCGACUGUUUAUCAAAAACACAGGUCUCUGCUAAACCGUAAGGUGAUGUAUAGGGGCUGACGCCUGCCCGGUGCUGGAAGGUUAAGAGGAGUGGUUAGCUUCUGCGAAGCUACGAAUCGAAGCCCCAGUAAACGGCGGCCGUAACUAUAACGGUCCUAAGGUAGCGAAAUUCCUUGUCGGGUAAGUUCCGACCCGCACGAAAGGCGUAACGAUUUGGGCACUGUCUCAACGAGAGACUCGGUGAAAUCAUAGUACCUGUGAAGAUGCAGGUUACCCGCGACAGGACGGAAAGACCCCGUGGAGCUUUACUGUAGCCUGAUAUUGAAAUUCGGCACAGCUUGUACAGGAUAGGUAGGAGCCUUUGAAACGUGAGCGCUAGCUUACGUGGAGGCGCUGGUGGGAUACUACCCUAGCUGUGUUGGCUUUCUAACCCGCACCACUUAUCGUGGUGGGAGACAGUGUCAGGCGGGCAGUUUGACUGGGGCGGUCGCCUCCUAAAAGGUAACGGAGGCGCUCAAAGGUUCCCUCAGAAUGGUUGGAAAUCAUUCAUAGAGUGUAAAGGCAUAAGGGAGCUUGACUGCGAGACCUACAAGUCGAGCAGGGUCGAAAGACGGACUUAGUGAUCCGGUGGUUCCGCAUGGAAGGGCCAUCGCUCAACGGAUAAAAGCUACCCCGGGGAUAACAGGCUUAUCUCCCCCAAGAGUUCACAUCGACGGGGAGGUUUGGCACCUCGAUGUCGGCUCAUCGCAUCCUGGGGCUGUAGUCGGUCCCAAGGGUUGGGCUGUUCGCCCAUUAAAGCGGUACGCGAGCUGGGUUCAGAACGUCGUGAGACAGUUCGGUCCCUAUCCGUCGUGGGCGUAGGAAAUUUGAGAGGAGCUGUCCUUAGUACGAGAGGACCGGGAUGGACAUACCUCUGGUGUACCAGUUGUCGUGCCAACGGCAUAGCUGGGUAGCUAUGUGUGGACGGGAUAAGUGCUGAAAGCAUCUAAGCAUGAAGCCCCCCUCAAGAUGAGAUUUCCCAACUUCGGUUAUAAGAUCCCUCAAAGAUGAUGAGGUUAAUAGGUUCGAGGUGGAAGCAUGGUGACAUGUGGAGCUGACGAAUACUAAUCGAUCGAAGACUUAAUCAA